CAAGCUUUGAAUCUAGCUUCAUUUAACAUUCACAUUUGCUAAGAGAAUCCUAAGGCUCUCCCCUGUUGAUCCUACCACAGCCCGACUAAUAUAACUUCUAAGAGAUGCAUCCAAAACAAGUUGAAUCAACAAAUACUAGGAAAAAUUCAAUUACAAUUACCAUGAAACUUACAAUUCACAGCACAGUCCCAUUUAUACACGCCAUAAUAGCAAAUUUAGGUCAUUAUAUUAACUGAAACAUUUUUAAGGUUGAAUAUUACAAACAUAAAUGAGGUUGGACAAAAUGAAUGAGAUCCAACAUGGAUUUCAUCAUUAUUGUUCAAAUUCCAAAGCCAGACUUCAAAUACACCUAGGUGAUGUCCAUGGAGUUUUGGAGAAUACCUGUUCACAGCAAACAAACAACACCAAAGCCUGAAGUUAUGACCCAAUUGCAGGAGCAGUUUAGCAAAGAAGAUACAACAACAAAAUCAAUUCAAAACCAGUAAUGGAAUACUGACCAGCAGCAUUCGAAUCAGUCUUUGAAUCCCAGAAAAAGAGAAAAGUUAUGAAGAUUUCAGAAUCAGGAUCAGUUGCAAAAACCAGUCUGAUUUUACCAAAAAAUGCAAGAAUUCUCCAGUACUUUCAGCUCAACUUUUCAUAAUCCCUUUCAGAAUUUUUACCUCUUUAGGAAUCUCUUUAAAGGCAAGCUACUAGGGCAACUUUAAAAUGUUCAGUUUUGCAUUUUAGACCUUUUUGAAUUUUCUUUUUGCUUAAAAAUCCCUAGAUUAUUGACUUGUUGGCCAAGUAAAACCUAUUUUCAGCUUCUAGGAAGCUUCUUCAGGUGGUUACCAAAAGAUUUUCUAGAUGAACUUACCCAAAUUG
rnacentral:lncRNA from 1 species